UUGAUCCUGGCUCAGAAUGAACGCUGGCGGCGCGUAUUAAGCAUGCAAGUCGAACGGUAACCAUCCUUCGGGAUGGCUAGAGUGGCGAACGGGUGAUUAACACUGUAGGUAAUCUGCCUUAUUAGUGGCGUGUGUUACCCAGGUGGACAUCGUGGUGGUAAUACCGAAUACGCUCGCGACCCUGUGGGUGAUGUGAGGAAAAGCUGCUUCGGCUCUGCUCGAGGAUGAGCCUGCGGCUGAUUAGUUAGUUGGUGGGGUAACGGCCUACCAAGGCGACGAUCAGUAGCCGGCCUGAGAGGGUGAGCGGCCACACUGGGACUGAGAUACGGCCCAGACUCCUACGGGAGGCAGCAGCUAAGAAUCUUCUACAAUGGACGAAAGUCUGAUAGAGCGACGCCGCGUGUGUGAUGAAGGCCGGAAGGUUGUAAAGCCCUUUUCUAUUCGCGGAAUAAGGUGUGGAGGCAAUGCCACACUGAUGACGGUAGGGUAGGACUAAGCCCCGGGCAAUUACGUGCCAGCAGCCGCGGUAACACGUAUGUGGCGAGCGUUGUUCGGAAUCAUUGGGCGUACAGGGCGCGUAUGCGGAUAUGCAAGCUUGGUGUGAAAGACCGCAGCUCAACUGCGGGAGCGCGCUGAGAACUGCGUAUCUUGAGUUCACGAGGGGAAGCUGGAAUUCCAGGUGUAGGGGUGAAAUCUGUAGAUAUCUGGAAGAACAUCAGUGGCGAAGGCGAGCUUCUGGCUUUGAACUGACGCUGAGGCGCGAAAGCGUGGGGAGCGAACAGGAUUAGAUACCCUGGUAGUCCACGCUGU
rnacentral:rRNA from 1 species